rnacentral:rRNA from 1 species
GGAUCAGGUAGGGAUACCCGCUGAACUUAAGCAUAUC